GCACUGGUGGUGUAAGGCGCAGCAUCGCUGCCCGGAAAGCAUAAGGCGCGGAUUCAAGUCCCGCCUGGCGCA
rfam:Heligmosomoides polygyrus genome assembly, scaffold: HPBE_scaffold0001623